AGGGCGUAUGGUGGAUGCCUUGGCACUAGGAGCCGAUGAAGGACGUGACUAACUGCGAUAUGCUUCGGGGAGUUGUAAGUAAACUAUGAUCCGGAGAUUUCCGAAUGGGGAAACCUAACAGGUUUUACCGCCUGUUAUCACUAAGUGAAUUCAUAGCUUAGUUGAAGGUAGACGUGGGGAACUGAAACAUCUAAGUACCCACAGGAAGAGAAAGAAAUUCGAUUCCCUCAGUAGCGGCGAGCGAACCGGGAAGAGCCCAAACUAAGAAGCUUGCUUCUUAGGGUUGUAGGACUGAACAUUUGAGUUACCAAGAAAUGAAGUAGUUGAAUAAUCUGGGAAGAUUAGCCAAAGAGAGUGAUAGCCUCGUAAGCGAAACUUCGUUUCCUCAGUUCAGGAUCCUGAGUACGGCGGAACACGUGAAACUCCGUCGGAAUCCGGGAGGACCAUCUCCCAAGGCUAAAUACUACCUAGUGACCGAUAGUGAACCAGUACCGUGAGGGAAAGGUGAAAAGCACCCCGGGAGGGGAGUGAAAUAGUUCCUGAAACCAUAUGCCUACAAGUAGUCAGAGCUCGUUAAUGAGUGAUGGCGUGCCUUUUGUAGAAUGAACCGGCGAGUUACGUUAGCGUGCGAGGUUAAGGAGGAAAGUCCGGAGCCGUAGCGAAAGCGAGUCUGAAUAGGGCGAGAUAGUACGUUGACGUAGACCCGAAACCAGGUGACCUACCCAUGUCCAGGUUGAAGGUGCGGUAAAACGCACUGGAGGACCGAACCCGUGUAUGUUGAAAAAUGCUGGGAUGAGGUGUGGGUAGAGGUGAAAUUCCAAACGAACUUGGAGAUAGCUGGUUCUCUCCGAAAUAGCUUUAGGGCUAGCCUCGGAGUUGAGAAUCGUGGAGGUAGAGCACUGUUUGGACUAGGGGCCCGUCUUGGGUUACUGAAUUCAGAUAAACUCCGAAUGCCACAGAUUUAUAUCCGGGAGUCAGACUGCGAGUGAUAAGAUCCGUAGUCGAAAGGGAAACAGCCCAGACCACCGAUUAAGGUCCCAAAAUAUGUGUUAAGUGGAAAAGGAUGUGGAAUUGCAUAGACAACUAGGAUGUUGGCUUAGAAGCAGCCACCAUUUAAAGAGUGCGUAAUAGCUCACUAGUCGAGUGAUCCUGCGCCGAAAAUGUAACGGGGCUAAACACAUUACCGAAAUCGUGGAUGUACCGUAAGGUACAUGGUAGGAGAGCGUUCUAAGGACGGCGAAGCUAGACCGUAAGGACUGGUGGAGUGCUUAGAAGUGAGAAUGCCGGUAUGAGUAGCGAAAGAUCAGUGAGAAUCUGGUCCACCGUAUGACUAAGGUUUCCUGGGGAAGGCUCGUCCUCCCAGGGUUAGUCGGGACCUAAGCCGAGGCCGAGAGGCGUAGGCGAUGGAUAACAGGUUGAGAUUCCUGUACUGGUUAAACUUGUUUGAACAAUGGAGGGACGCAGGAGGCUAUCGAUGCGUACUGUUGGAUAUGUACGUUCAAGCAAUAAGUCUGUAGAUGAGUCAAAUGCUUAUCUACUUAAGGACAAGUUGUGAUGAGGAGCGAAAUUUAGUAGCGAAGUGAGAGACGUCACACUGCCAAGAAAAGCUUCUAGUUAGAGUUUAAUCACCCGUACCGCAAACCGACACAGGUAGUCGAGGCGAGUAGCCUAAGGUGAGCGAGAGAACUCUCGUUAAGGAACUCGGCAAAAUGACCCCGUAACUUCGGGAGAAGGGGUGCUGAGCGCAAGCUCAGCCGCAGUGAAUAGGCCCAGGCGACUGUUUAUCAAAAACACAGGUUUCUGCAAAAUCGUAAGAUGAAGUAUAGGGGCUGACGCCUGCCCGGUGCUGGAAGGUUAAGAGGAUGGGUUAGCGUAAGCGAAGCUCAGAAUUGAAGCCCCAGUAAACGGCGGCCGUAACUAUAACGGUCCUAAGGUAGCGAAAUUCCUUGUCGGGUAAGUUCCGACCCGCACGAAAGGCGUAACGAUCUGGGCACUGUCUCAACGAGAGACUCGGUGAAAUUAUAAUACCCGUGAAGAUGCGGGUUACCCGCGACAGGACGGAAAGACCCCAUGGAGCUUUACUGUAGCUUGAUAUUGGGUGUUUGUACAACUUGUACAGGAUAGGUAGGAGCCGUAGAAGUCGGAACGCUAGUUUCGAUGGAGGCAUUGGUGGGAUACUACCCUCGUUGUAUGAACACUCUAACCCUCGCCGGCAAUCACGGCGGGAGACAGUGUCAGGUGGGCAGUUUGACUGGGGCGGUCGCCUCCUAAAAGGUAACGGAGGCGCCCAAAGGUUCCCUCAGAAUGGUUGGAAAUCAUUCGCAGAGU
rnacentral:rRNA from 1 species